UGUUGACAUUAUAGUUGUGCAGGAACUUUGUUGACUCUAGAGAACAUCGGGCAAAUCGCACAUCCCCGUGGCGGCGACUUUGCAUGUGGAUGUCAUCCAUAUCAACUUGGUGACCACGGGUAACGGGGAAUCAGGGUUCCAUUCCGUACAGGGACCCUGAGAAACGGCUACCACAUGCAAGGAAGGCAGCAGGCGCGCAAAUGACCCACUCCCAACGCGGGAAGGUAGUGACGACA